rnacentral:rRNA from 1 species
CAGUCGCCACGGUAAUACGGAGGGUGCAAGCGUUAAUCGGAAUUACUGGGCGUAAAGCGCACGCAGGCGGUUUGUUAAGUCAGAUGUGAAAUCCCCGAGCUUAACUUGGGAACUGCAUUUGAAACUGGCAAGCUAGAGUCUUGUAGAGGGGGGUAGAAUUCCAGGUGUAGCGGUGAAAUGCGUAGAGAUCUGGAGGAAUACCGGUGGCGAAGGCGGCCCCCUGGACAAAGACUGACGCUCAGGUGCGAAAGCGUGGGGAGCAAACAGGAUUAGAGACCCCAGUAGUCCCUGUCUCUUAUAU